ACGGUACCAAAAUAUUAUGAAGAUUCUGUACUAUUUACCAACAUAUGUACAAUUCCUUAUAUCAAUAAUUCAAUCAUCAAUACAAUGAAAAACAGACUCAGCUUUCCAAACAUUUUAUACUCCACAAGAAUUUAGCAUUACCAUCUAAAAGAUAUCCCAAACUAAACAACCAACCAAAAUCUGCUGACCCGAUUCGUCUGACAUUAAGAUGGCUCCAGAGCUCCAACCUUCCAUAUAACAGUCUCGUCUCAUACUUGCAGUCUUUAUGAUCGAAAUUGAAAGAAUUGAAUCAGCCAACAUGAAAGGGGCCAAUAUCUCCAGUUCUAAGAGAGCCAGCAACCUCAUCAGCAACUGUCAAGCAAGAAGAGACCCAUCCACUGAGUGCAAGCCAUACCAUCUUUACCAUCCAGAGAGUCAAGGCCCAUGGCAUUGUCAUAUCUCCCUCUCCCUCCUCCUCAAGUUCUAAUCAAAGGUACCAAAACCCAAUUAUGUAGCUGUUUCUGGAAGUGAAAAUUCAAAGAGGACGAUGAUAGAAAAAGAUGAAUAAGUUGAAAAGAAAAAGGAAUUAGAGAGGGUGAAGUCAAAGGAAUGAAGUAGUAGUUUUUAAAGAAAUGGGUUUG
rnacentral:misc_RNA from 1 species